UCUCCCUCUCUGUAUCUUGUUAUCUUCUUCUUUUUCUACUCUUCAUUCUUCCCUUUUAUUCUCUCUUUGUUUUAUUCUUUUUUAAUUCUCUACAUUAAUGAAAUAAAUAUAACUCCUAAAGAAAUUUAUUUCACUUUAACCUAAUUUUUCAAGUUGGGUUUCUAAGAAUUCAUUCAAUCAUCAUAUAUUUUGUAGAUGACUUAAGGGAUUGAAAGUUCUACAAAUGCACAUAAAUUAUUUUGGAGUUCACAUAUUGUGAGGUAUUGCUAAUGGAAUUUGAUGGACAUUUGUAUCAGCUUUCGGUUCGUUUGGAUACUUGGAUUUUCUACAUACAUAUUUGUAUGUGUUUGAUUUACGGGUUCUUUCCACUUUCAAUUUUUUUCGUCGAAGUUUAUGCAUAUGUUUAAUUUUAUAAUCGAAUUUCCCCAUGUAUCUUCAAGCUAAGCAAGUAAAGAAGAAGCCUGGAUAUAUGUGGAACAUUUCAAAUUUCGAGCUCCAAAUAAGUUUUAUCAUCAACUUCAUGAUUAUUUUUGUGGUACUUUAUUUACAGUCUUCGUGGAACAGAGAACUAAAUCCUAAUUCAGAACAUUUAUAUCUGCCUAUUAUAAACAUGUUACUGUAUCACCACACUAUUAAUUAUUAAAAUGAGAGCUUGCAAAACUCAUUUAGACCAAAGAGAGCUACUUCAUUUUUAUUUGUUUUAGCGACCUGGUGCAAAUUAGAACAAUAUUGAGCAUUAUAACAUUUUUUAUUUUACCUUUUUAGAAGUGGGAGUUGUGCUAGGACGAACACAACACUAAAAAUUGGUACCACUAUUUAGAAGUGGGAGUUGUGCUAGGAGCAAAUUGUACUGUAACCAAAGACAUUUCAAAUUGUAUUGUGAGGCCUCAUAAUUUUUGGCCCAAUUUGAUUGGGUAUUAACACUUGGAGGCUCUUUUAUUUCCACGUGUGAGCAAUUGAUAUUGCUUCAGGUAAUAGGUAUAGAAUUAUUGUGGAUUUUUCUACAAACUGUACUGCUGACUUUUUGUCAAAGAGGAGCCACAAAUCAGAUAUAGUACACCAUUUCUACACCUACUAUCAGUUACCUACCUCUUGCGGCUAAAGGAAGCUACAUCUUGAAAAAAAAUGGGCAUGUCAAAUUUUCGAAGGAAGAAGCUGGAAAGGAUCAAGUAGAGAGGUGAAUUUGAAAGUAUACUCAAAUUAGUGGACCUAUUGUUUUAUGUUAUGAGAAAACUUAUCACCUCUAAAGCAAAAAUGCAGAAAAUGUGCAGAGGAUAAAUCAUUAGAUUUAUUAUUUCAAAACUUUCAAGACAUGAUUCAUGAAUUAUUUGGAUUUUUUCUUACUGUUACUUGAAUUUUAGUGUUAGAAUGGUAUUAUCGAUCUUCACAUUUUGUGAUGUAUGAACUCAUGUUCAUUUCGUAUUAUCAUGUCAACUGCUUUUCCUAGCAUACAUAUGAUAAACGAAGAAAAUUUUCACAAACCCAAACGAUACUUAAAAUUGGUUUGUUUGUUUUGUUUAUUGGUUGUGAUUCAUGUAUUAUGAGACAUGGUUGUAAUGUGUUUAAAGCUUCAUAUUCAGAAAGUUUCUAGCAAUGAAAAAAGUUUUAUGGAAAAAGCUUUUAAAGUACCCUAACCACAAACAUUUUGUUCAACAUGACAUCUACGGAUAUGCAUGAUUACCAUGACGGCAUGACCAGACAACUGGUUUGCAGCAUCUUUGGACCAUGGUACUUUGUAUAACCAAGAGCAAGUAAGAGAUAUAGAUGAUUACGAGACACCGAAGAGAGUUAAAUGUUUGCCUUCCAGAUGAUGCAUGAUACUAAUAGUAGAUUGAGUUUUGUUAUUCCUUUCCUUUCAGUAAGUACCUCCAGUCCUCAAUCUAUUGGUAUAAGUUCAUCAGAGGAAUGAAAUAUAGGCAUUGAUUGUAAAUGAAAUAAAGUUGUGUUUUUAUUUUUGUUCCAAGUUAUAUGUGCUGAAAUUGUAAGAGUUUCAUAUGGAAUAUUUGAAUUUCCACUUAUUUUGGAGAUGAUGAUGAUAUCAAGAAGCUUGAGGUGGAAAGGGUAUUGUCAUUAGUUAUUAGUUUUUGCUUGAUUUUGAUUUUUUGUGUUUUGGGUUACUGGAAUCUUUGCUUAUCUGCAAACUCAAAGGUUAUCUCUUUUUCUAUAUUAUGGGGUUUAAUUGAACUGAUUAUUUUUUGCUCCAACUUUUCAUACAUAUGCUACUCAUUUAGACCUGAUUUAUACUAGAUGUAUUCAAUUCGCCUAAAAGCUCUAGCCCUAUUUGUAGUAUUAUAUUACAAUGUUGAAGAAAGUUUUGGAACAGAUUGGAGUGCCCUGCCUAACUUCAUGGCUCAAAGGAAACAAAAAGGAAAAUGAAGGAGAAACCAGAUAUGAAGAUCUAUGUAAUUUCAUGACAACUCUAAAUUACCUUUAAGAUCAGAUUUAUUUCUUUCUAGAUGUAUCAGAAAAGAUGCUCAGUGGACUACACUUGAUUUAUCACAUUCUCCAAAAGCAGACUUGUAAACAUUGAUAUUAUAAAAAAGACCUAUUUUUAUUUUCUC